rnacentral:rRNA from 1 species
GAUGAACGCUGGCGGCGUGCUUAACACAUGCAAGUCGAACGGAAAGGCUCCUGCUUGCAGGGGUACUCGAGUGGCGAACGGGUGAGUAACACGUGGGUGAUCUGCCCUGCACUUCGGGAUAAGCCUGGGAAACUGGUCUUAUACCGGGUAAGGCGAUGGUUUUGAUUCCAUUUUGGAAAGUUUUUCGGUGUGGGAUGAGCUCGCGGCCUAUCAGCUUGUUGGUGGGGUAAUGGCCUACCAAGGCGUCGACGGGUAGCCGGCCUGAGAGGGUGUACGGCCACAUUGGGACUGAGAUACGGCCCAGACUCCUACGGGAGGCAGCAGUGGGGAAUAUUGCACAAUGGGCGCAAGCCUGAUGCAGCGACGCCGCGUGGGGGAUGACGGCCUUCGGGUUGUAAACUCCUUUCGCUAGGGACGAAGCGCGAGUGACGGUACCUGGAGAAGAAGCACCGGCUAACUACGUG